GGUGGUUACAUUCCAUUAUCCCCAAGGUAUCGACGAACCCGUGGUUCAAGGGGUUGGAUGUAGGUCGGGAUUUCAUUUGCGUGAUGUCCCGGCUUAUGUCCAAUCACUAUAGAUUUGACGCGCAUCUCCGUCGUGUUGGGCUCGGGGAGAGUGGUAUCUGUGCCUGUGGUGAAGGUUAUCACGACAUAGAGCACGUUGUUUGGUCAUGCCCUGUACACCGUGACGCCAGGUCUAGAUUAAUAGCUUCCCUGCAGGCCGAAGGUAGGCAGCCGGCUGUUCCUGUUCGUGAUGUGUUGGCGAGCCGUGACCUAUCCUACAUGUCCCUUAUAUACGUUUUCCUGAAAUCCUUCCACGCCCCAGUUUAGUCCUAUCCCCUUCCGCCUACAUCCAACCGAACGACAAGAACACGUUAAGACCCCGGAUCCGGAAACAGCAAUCAGACCCGCACGAUACUCUCAAGGCCCGAUGGAAACAACCCAAUAUGCCAGUCCGUAUAGAUGAGGAAAAAAAAAAAUGAAACACACUGUGAAUGAAUAGUGACUCAGUAGUCCAAGGGUAGAAGGCUAACUAGAAGAUCUGUCUAUCUACUAAAUCGAUGGUAAUCGUUUAUGCAAACUCAGAUCAAGCAUUCGUAUCAGUAGGGAGAUUACCGGCCGUGGGGUUAGUAAGGAUUUGUCGCUCGGUGAAUAGAAAUGACGAACGUCGGCAGAGCAGGUUCUAAACAAGUCGACAGGACGCGUGUGUAGCUUCUCUCGGUGUUCGUCUACUGAUAAAGCGCUGACGGCAAACAUUUGUGUGAAGGCUUAUAAAACGCGCAAUCUUUCUGGCACUGCAAACCGCUGCUCGUGUGAUGAGAUGUCAUGGAAUCAUGGCUGAAAAGCGUUACAAGGUUCACUUCUAUAAAAUUAUUAACGUAAUUUACGUCUGAUACAGCUGGCAAUAAUUUGCAAGCACACAAAUUAUUCCAACAAAAAUAAAACGAAAAAUUUGAGAAUAAGAAUGAAGUAGUAUUUUUGGUAGACCUGUUGAUCGUUAUGCAGUGAAGCCUUGAGAAUAUAAUGAAAUACAGCCAUCAGUAAACAUCUGAUGAGAUUUCGCGUAACUGCGAAGUUCAUUGCCAUCUUCCGUUUAUGCAAAUAUUGCACAUAUACACGUACGUAUCUGUAGCUUGCCGGUGCCACAGAACCGUGCUCUGUUGGUGAUUCUCAGUAAUGUGCCUCGUGGAUAGGUGAAAUGUGUAUUUUCCAUCGACUCAUCCAUAUGGCUAGAUAAUAUGGAGUGGAUAUAAGACAGUCUGAUAUAUAGAUAAGGGUUAACGUUAAUUUAGGCAAUGAUUCCAUUAUUCAAAUGGAAGAAUCAGAGAGUUAUAAAAUGCUGAGAUUUUGUUUACCACCAUAAAAUACUACUCUAGCAGCCAACAGGUCAUUGAACGAUAAGGAUUGGAAAAUAAAUCCGGAUGCUGACACAUAAGCGAAAGGAGUAGAGACGUUGUUGUUGAACAUCAAAUUUAUAUGAUAACGAGAUGAAGAGGGAGGCAGCAAUUAACUGAGCGCACGAAAAUUUGCGCUUUGUAAAUUUGAUGUUGGCUAUAAAAUAUUAUUGGCACGAGGUCAAUAGAAUGCAAGGAUCGAAGGUUACAAUAGCACAUAUUACAUAAACUCUGACAAACAUAAGUUGAUUUCUAGUCAAAUAAUAAAUUGACGAUCAUUUUGCCAAUUUCGGUGAUUUUCGUUAUUUUUCAGUGUUGUUUUUUUUUCAAGCGAUAUUUAAAUAGAUUAUCAAUAUUUGGUAUUGAAUACCAACGAGCCUCAAAUACUGUAUUUCUAGCGUCGCAAAAGGAUGCUUUGGGGGAUAAUUUGACAUUUGUUGAUUGCAAGCACCAAUCAGAACUACGACGAUUACCUGAUUUUGUUGUUGUGUUUCAUCAUUGCAUUUAAUUCGCACAUCUACAUGAGCAUAACUGACCUACCGCAAGAUUCGCGCGGCUACUGCACCAGCAGCAGUAGCAACAAACACUGAACAUAAGCACAUAUCGAUAGGUAGUGAAUAACGUUGAACGUGAGCGAAAGGUUGUUGAACCGAACU